GACGUAUGCACGUGACUAAUUUCUUACUGAAGAUUGGAUAAUUGCUUCAUGAAUUAUUAAUGAGUUUUUGAAGUAACGAUCUUCAACGCAUUCAAAAGCGAGCGCUUUCAAUUAUAUCUCCUGGGUCAUCUUAUUACGAACAAUCUUAACAAGCAUAAUAUUAGUUCUUUCCAAGACAGGCGUCAGAAACUGUGUGAAAAACUUUUCAAGACAAUAGUAUACAACUCAGACCACAAGCUUUAUCAACUACUGCCACCCAAACACAAUCUCACUUACAACCUGAGGAGAGAACGUGCGUUUGAUUGUCCUACUAUACAAACCAAUCGUUUUAGAAACUCUUAUAUUUCCGCAAUGUCAAAUAAUUUAAAGAAAUAGGUUUGCCAUGAAUUGUUUUCAUAACAUAAGUCGAACUUGAACCUUAAAGAUCGU